GACAAACAGAGCACAGCUUUAGCCUGGGAGCGAGCGUGGCUCGCAGUGCCCAUUGUUGCUCUAUCCAGAGAAUGAUUCACCCUCCCCAGGGCUGUGCCUUGCCUCCGCACGUUUCGCAAGGCUCUGCCUUUAUAACAGCGUGGUGCUGCACGCAGCGACUCCUGGCAGAUUGCUGGGCUGCCUGCAGAGCGGGGAGGCAGCAGCUAAUCCUCCUAAGGAUGAUUUUCCUCUUGCAGUAUUUCUUCCUGCUGGCCACAGACCUAGUGCUGGCCAUGACCCUUUCCUGCCUCUUUUAUGCCUUCGCAUGCGUGUCCAUCGCGCUGCUGACCUGCUGCGUUAUCGUCGUCUCCUUCGGCACCGCGGAGAGGAGCGCCCACGUGAAAGGGAGAGCAAUUGUAAUUCUUGUGUCCAACAGCUCCAUUGGGAGGAUGUUUGCGAGGAACCUGGACAGAGCAGGAUUCGGGGUGUCUGCUGCACACUGGUCUGCUCCAGAGGAGAGGACAGUGACAGAAGAGUGCUCGUUGAACAAGGAGGUAGCCCAGCUGCACCUGACUGAAGAUGAGUAUCAGAAGACAGUGAAAACCUUCAUAGAAAGCCACUUAUCCCUGAAAGAGGAAAGAGCCUGCUUUGGUGGCUGUGAAAGGCCCCAGCAGACCCCAGUCCCUGAAGGAAGGCAAAGUAGGCCAAGGAAGGAGGGGGAGAAGGUCCUAUCAAGGCACAGAGGGCUGGACUUGCUGUGA
rnacentral:lncRNA from 1 species